GACAGAGGCCCCAAGCGUUAGGCGGAAUCACUGGGCUUAAAGCGUGUGUAGGCGGACGCCUAAGUGUCUUGUGAAAUCCCACGGCUCACCCGUGGAACUGCUGGGCAUACUGGGCGUCUUGGGCCAACUAGGGGCAGCCGGAACAAGCGGUGGAGCGGUGAAAUGCGUAGAUAUCGCUUGGAACGCCGAAGGUGAAAACAGGCUGCUGGGGUUGUGCCGACGCUGAGACACGAAAGCCAGGGGAGCAAACGGA
rnacentral:rRNA from 1 species